AGCGAACGCUGGCGGCAGGCCUAACACAUGCAAGUCGAACGGAUCCUUCGGGAUUAGUGGCGGACGGGUGAGUAACACGUGGGAACGUGCCCUUUGGUUCGGAACAACUCAGGGAAACUUGAGCUAAUACCGGAUGUGCCCUUCGGGGGAAAGAUUUAUCGCCAUUGGAGCGGCCCGCGUCUGAUUAGCUAGUUGGUGAGGUAACGGCCCACCAAGGCGACGAUCAGUAGCUGGUCUGAGAGGAUGAUCAGCCACACUGGGACUGAGACACGGCCCAGACUCCUACGGGAGGCAGCAGUGGGGAAUCUUGCGCAAUGGGCGAAAGCCUGACGCAGCCAUGCCGCGUGAAUGAUGAAGGUAUUAGGAUUGUAAAAUUCUUUCAGCGGGGACGAUAAUGACGGUACCCGCAGAAGAAGCUCCGGCUAACUUCGUG
rnacentral:rRNA from 1 species